ensembl:snRNA U6 U6 spliceosomal RNA
GUGCUCACUCUGGUAUCACAUAUACUAAAAUUGGCUAUACAGAGAUUAGCAUGGCCCCUGCACAAGGAUGACAUACCAAUUCGUGAAGUGUUCCAUACUUAA